rnacentral:lncRNA from 1 species
AGGGAGGUGAGCGGGACUGCCCAGGGGAGAGUCAGAGAAGAGAGAAGCUGGAGGUGUCCAGAAGGGGCAGGAAGGGCCAACGAAAAAAGAGCGGCCACCUGGGUGUUACAGAAGGAAUGCUGACUGGUGGGACUUAGCCAUCCAGAAGAUCUCAGGUCUUCCAGUCUAUCUGGGGAGAUGUAUAUUCUGGUACAGCAAAAUACUGCUACUUUGGACAAACUAGACUGAAUUAUACCUUCAGAGUUGGUGAGUAUAUUUCCUGUUUUAAAAGAAAAAUAGCUUUGUCGCUUUAUUCUUGUGGUAAAAUGCACAUAAUGUAAAAUUUAUUAUUGUAACCAUUUUCAAGUAUACAGUUUGGGAC